rnacentral:rRNA from 1 species
CUCGCCUGUUUAUCAAAAACAUAGCCCUAAGAAAAUAUUUAGGGUGAGCCCUGCCCGGUGACAAAUUAAUUUUUAACGGCCGCAGUACCUUGACUGUGCUAAGGUAGCGUAAUCAGUUGGCUUUUAAAUGGAGUCUUGUAUGAACGGGAACAUGGGGGAAAGCUGUCUCAAGUUUAGGAAUCGAAGUUGCUAAUAAGGUGAAAAUGCCUUAACUAAAUUAAAAGACGAGAAGACCCUUAGAGCUUUAAUAAAUUGAAUUAUUGUUCAAUACUUUUUUGUUGGGGCGACAAGGAGACAACGAACUCUCCCUUUUUUGUAGAACUUGCCGACUGAUUGUAAGAAAGAAUAAGCUACCUUAGGGAUAACAGCAUUAUUUUUUAUAAAGCUUAUGACCUCGAUGUUGGACUAGGGACUUUAUGACUAGCCGUCAGAUUAGCAUGUUCUGUUCGAACAAAUGACCCUACAUGAUCUGAGUUCAGACCGGAGC